rnacentral:miRNA from 1 species
AGCUGUUUUGGGAUUACAACUCCCAUCAUCCCUGACCACUAGUCCUGUUAGCUAGGGAUGAUGGGAGUUGUAGUCCCAAAACAGCU